UACGUAGGGUGCGAGCGUUGUCCGGAAUUAUUGGGCGUAAAGAGCUUGUAGGCGGUUUGUCGCGUCUGCUGUGAAAAUCCGGGGCUCAACCCCGGACUUGCAGUGGGUACGGGCAGACUAGAGUGUGGUAGGGGAGACUGGAAUUCCUGGUGUAGCGGUGGAAUGCGCAGAUAUCAGGAGGAACACCGAUUGCGAAGGCAGGUCUCUGGGCCGCAACUGACGCUGAGAAGCGAAAGCAUGGGGAGCGAACAGG
rnacentral:rRNA from 1 species